GCCCUUUAUACAUGGAUUAAUAGUGUUUUACUGUGUGAUCUCGAGGCCAUUUUGAGAGAAAACCCCUGUGGCCCAUGAGUCAUCCCUCACGAACCCCUCCUGACAAGGGCAAGUCACUGCUGACCGGGAGUACCCUUUCAUACUCUUUUCCUUUGACAUGUUCUCGCCCAGUCUCAGCUUGUAAAAUUAGAGCUGUACGUCGCUGUCACAAAUGGGCAACCUGCUGACAACUGCUGCACGCGGCGCCGGAUCGGGACCUCCGCGGGAGAGAAGACAGCCGACCAGCCAGGGAAAGAGUGCAGGCGCCUCUCCCGGCGACGCCUCCCCCAGUUUGUUUAAAGCUCCACGAGCCGAUCUCGAGCAGUGGGGAAUUGAAAAGGAAGCCAAGAGAGCGGAGUGGGAAGAAGGGCAAAGGAGGAAGACGAGGGAAACGGCGAGCUUUUGUCUUUUUAGAAAGAGAGAAACGUGUCACGUUUGAGAGCGAGCAGACUCCACAAAGACAAAUCGCCUCACAAAAAGGCUUUGUGUCAUUUCUAAAUAAAGCUUUCCAUUUGAGGUAUCUAACGUCUUGCUGUUCGUGUGUCCCACAGCAAUCAACAAAAUUGUAGUAGUGGAGUUUAAGGAUUUGCAAAGCUGCUACUAAUACUUCUGCUCUGAUUAUUUUUUAGAUAAAUAAAUAAAAAAAAAACUUAAUGGCAAGAAAGAUGUAGACUCCAAAAAUACUAUCCAAAUAAAAAUCAUUUAAAUUAAGAAAACCAGAAGAAAACUAUGGUGCCCGAAAGCAGGGGGCCCCAACAACCGAGAUAUAUGGAAGAUAUAAUUAAUUAUACAUGUUUUUUUUCCGUUUUUUUCUGAGUCUUGACGAUCUUUUAUUUUGAAAAUCUUGUGGUUUUGAAGAGAACAGGAUUCUCUCGGUUACGUUUCAGUCACUUGAGCUCUAAAAGUAGUCCAGCGGUUGCAACACGAGAAGAGCAGUAUGUGAAACGUUUCUUUAGAAAUGGAUAAGCGAUGAGUGCAGGGACAGAAGAACAGGCUACAGCUUAAAGAAAAAACAAACAAACCAAAAAAAAA